GUGCCAGCCGCCGCGGUAAUACGGGGGGAGCAAGCGUUGUUCGGAAUUACUGGGCGUAAAGGGCGUGUAGGCGGCCUUGUAAGUCGGGGGUGAAAUCCACUGGCUCAACCAGUGACGUGCCUUCGAAACUGCUUGGCUUGAGUAUGGCAGAGGAGAGCGGAAUUCCAGGUGUAGCGGUGAAAUGCGUAGAUAUCUGGAAGAACACCGGUGGCGUAGGCGGCUCUCUGGGCCAAUACUGACGCUGAGGCGCGAAAGCCAGGGGAGCAAACGGGAUUAGAUACCCCGGUAGUCC
rnacentral:rRNA from 1 species